CUAAGGGAGCCGUGGAUUUGAACCACGGAUUUAGGGAUUAGCAGUCCUUAAUGUUGCCGGCCUCUCU
rnacentral:tRNA from 1 species